rnacentral:lncRNA from 10 species
AGAAAAGGUACCUUGACACCUCCUAUAAUACCAAGUGUUGCAUCACCCACAGACACAAGUAAUUUUGACAGUUUCCCUGAGGACAACGAUGAACCACCACCUGAUGACAACUCAGGAUGGGAUAUAGACUUCUAAUGUAUUUCUCUUACCUGCUUCUGCCUUGCUGAAGACAGCUUUUUCUGAGACACAGCUGCCAGCAAACCUGAGGGAAAGAGAGAAGAUUAGUGCUCGGGGUCACCAUGAUGCCUUUGAUCGAUGCUGCUCCAGUAACUACAGUGGCAUUAGGACUUACCGCUUAGAUGACAAUAGUGCUCUUUACAUGUUUUCUGUUUGAACCUAAAAUAGCAGUUGACAUGGUGGUCCUGAAGCAAAGCCUUUCACCAGUAAAAGAUGUUUUCUAUUGUUGCAAUGACCUUGCUUUGCUCUGAUUAUAAUUUGAAAGACUGUAGGAAACACUUCAAUGUAGUAUAAGAGUCUGUACCUUGCUGGAAUAUUCAAGAAGAUGAAAGAAUAAUAUAUUGGGUACAAUAGAUUACUAUGGUACAGAAACUGGGCUAUUCCCUUUCUUCAAGUGAAGGCUGUGGGAUCUAUUACUGCAGGCCGGUGUAUAUACCAUACAAAAGAGGACCACACAUCUGUUGGUCACAGAGUUCAUGUCACACCAGUGCUAGAAGUUUCAUGAUUUUAUUUCCCAGCAGUGCUGAUGACAAGACUGAAUGUUACCUUUUCUUUCUGACAGAUUUUAAAAAUUGAUAUGAUAAAAGCACAACUGCUAUAGAUUCUGCUGAGACCUCUCAUAGUAGGUAUAUAUGAGUUUUCACAGAAGACUGAAAAAUAAUGCAUGAUAUUUGUUUGUUUUUUUUGAUAAAUUGGCAUGACAGAGUGGGGAAAAAAAGCAAUUCACAAAACCAUUUCAUAUUUUUUAAAAUAUUGUGCUUAAAGAUGGUCCUGGAAGUAAAUGACUAGCAGCCAAUUGGUUUUACUUAACAUACCCUCAAACUGAGGCUUAAAGUAUUCCCUUUUAUAAAAAUAAAUGCUUGGGGUAGGGUGGAGUGGGGAGGGAUUAAAACCCAUCCAAAAAAUAAAUAAAAACUAUAUAGGUGCUAUGUAUAUCUUUCAUCUGUAAAUGUCAGUGUCUGAACAGACAACACAAAUUCAAAUCAUUAUACGUGUAGCCAGAAACUCAAGCAUUUUCACUAAAGUUAUUAAACCAAACUCCUGUCCAAUUUCACUUAUACAACAUAGUCAGUCUAGAGUUGAGAGACAAAGGUAAUUAUAAACCUAUUUGAACUAGCUUCUUGUCUUAGGCCUGAACCAAAAAACAACAAACAAACAAAAAACAAGAAUGAAAAA